UUAAAUACUUCACUUAAAAAUAAUUAAUACUUGGAAUGAUACAGAGAAGAUUAGCAUGGCCCCUGUGUAAGGAUGACAGGAAAAAAAAAAUACUGUGUUUUAAAUGUUU
ensembl:snRNA U6 U6 spliceosomal RNA